rnacentral:rRNA from 1 species
AUUGAACGCUGGCGGCAGGCCUAACACAUGCAAGUCGAACGAGUGGCGGACGGGUGAGUAAUGUAUGGGAAACUGCCUGAUGGAGGGGGAUAACUACUGGAAACGGUCGCUAAUACCGCAUACCAUCGGAUGUGCCCAGAUGGGAUUAGCGAGUAGGUGGGGUAACGGCUCACCUAGGCGACGAUCCGUAGCUGGUCUGAAAGGAUGAACAGACACACGGGAACUGAGACACGGUCCUGAGGCCUACGGGAGGCAGCAGUGGUGAAGAUUGCACAAUGGGCGCAAGCCUGAUGCAGCCAUGCCGCGUGUAUGAAGAAGGCCUUCGGGUUGUAAAGUACUUUCAGCGGGGAGGCGUUACCCGCAGAAGAAGCACCGGCUAACUCCGUGCCAGCAGCCGCGGUAAUAC